rnacentral:rRNA from 1 species
UACGGAGGAUGCAAGCGUUAUCCGGAUUUAUUGGGCGUAAAGCGUCCGUAGGUGGUUCAUCAAGUCUGCUGUCAAAGCGCGAGGCUUAACUUCGUACAGGCAGUGGAAACUGGUGGACUUGAGAGUGAUAGGGGCAGAGGGAAUUCCCAGUGUAGCGGUGAAAUGCGUAGAUAUUGGGAAGAACACCGGAGGCGAAGGCGGGUUGCUGGGCCGACACUGACGCUGAGGCGCGAAAGCCAGGGAGCGAACGGG